CCUCUUUGUGUUUUGUUGAGAUUCAUCUCUGGGGUGAAUGACAGGCUUGCAUAUUCAGUACCAUCCAAUAUCAUAAGAACUGGUCUGCAUAGCAGAUUAAUGCUCAAUAUUAUCUUCAGAGCAGCUGAAAGUCCUUUCCCUCCAAAUCUUAUUUUGCUGUUGUUGUUUGUGUUUUUUAGAUGAAGUCUUGCUCUGUUGAACAGGUUGGAGUACAGUGGUGUAAUCUCGGCUCUCUGCAACAUCCACCUCCCAGGUUCAAGCAAUUCUCCUGCCUCAGCCUCCUGAGUAGCUGGGAUUACAGGUCUCCCAGCUCCAUGUCCUCUAACCCACUGAACAAACGUGGAUGUGUCGCUUCCAGAGGCUAACAACUCCAAGAGUCAUCGCCAGAAGACAGUUACUUUCUAUGAUUUCUUUUAAACAAAUGAUAAUUUACAAGAUGUGUGAUUUUCUACCUCUAUCAUACAUUAGCAAGGUCUUUCCAGCCAGAAGGGCUACAUGUGGCAAAUGUUUUCUAUGAAAAGGCCGGGGUGGAGUUGAGAGCAGCUUUUUCAUAGUAUAUACACAGGCCUUCCAUA
rnacentral:lncRNA from 1 species